UUUGAUUAAUCUGUCUUUGGCAAAUAAUAGACUAGAAGGUUCUAUUCCUGUGUCUAUGGGAAGCAUGAUCAGUUUGGCAAAUCUCGACUUGUCGUACAACAACCUCUCUGGUUCAAUUCCAAAGUCUUUAGAAGCACUUCAACACCUCGACUACUUUAAUGUCUCUUUCAAUAGUUUAAGUGGAGAAAUUCCUAAUGGAGGUUCUUUUAGAAACUUCACUACGGAUUGUUUUAAGGGUAAUGAGGCAUUGUGUGGAAUCCCCAAGUUCCAUGUCCAAAUUUGCUCUUCAAUUUCUAAUCACAGAUCAAAGAGAAAGAAGGUGGAACGAGCUUCAUUUAUUGUUUUCGGGGUUGUGGCUUUCAUCUCAGUUGUUUCUUUGGCCUUUAUAAUUGUCAAAAACAAAAGGAAAGAUAAGACGACUAGCAGAGAAGUUGAUGAGUUGAUAUUCAUUGUGCCGGAAAGAAUCUCUUAUUAUGAACUGCUGCAAGCAACGGAAAGAUUCGAUGAAAGCAAUUUACUUGGCACUGGGAGUUCUUGCUCUGUUUAUAAAGGAAUUCUUAACAAUGGGAAGGAUAUCGUUGUCAAGGUGUUUAAUAUGCAGCUAGAAGGUAUUUCAAGAAUAUUUGAUGUCGAAUGUGAGAUACUACGUAGCAUUCGACACAGGAAUCUGACAAGCGUCAUAAGCAGUUGCUCCAAUGAAGAGUUCAAGGCAUUAGUACUUGAAUAUAUGCCAAAGGGAAACCUUGAAAAAUGGUUAUAUUCCCACAACUAUUGCUUGAAUAUGAUGGAAAGAUUGAAUAUAAUGAUUGAUGUUGCAUCUGCUUUGGAGUAUCUUCACCACGGUUAUUCAAUGCCCAUUGUCCACAGCGACUUGAAGCCUAGUAAUGUGCUGUUAGAUGAAGACAUGGUUGCCCAUGUAAGCGACUUUGGGAUAGCAAAGUUGUUAUGCGAUGGAGAUAGCUUUGUGUUAACCAACACGCUAGCAACAUUGGGUUACAUCGCUCCAGGUGAAGUUUCUCUAAAUAUAUUGAUUGCACUUCACUUUCAAUCAAUUAAUUGUGUCUUCCUAACUCAUACAUCAUGAUUUUGUUGUUCCAGAGUAUGGCUUGGAAGGGCAAGUUUCAACAAGGUGUGAUGUGUAUAGCUACGGGGUGAUGUUGAUUGAAACUUUUACGAGAAAAAGGCCUAGUGAUGAUAUGUUUUGCGGAGAUAUGAGCUUAAAGAGAUGGGUAGAACUCUCACUUUCGGAGAACCCAGAUGAAGUGAUAGAUGCCAACUUAGUCAUGAAUUUGGAGGAAGAAAUGAUUGACAAGAAUAUGCAGUGUGUGUCAUCCAUACUUGAAUUGGCUCUGAAAUGCUCCGCCGACUCUCCCGGGGAUAGAAUCAACAUGAAACAAGCACAUGCAGAGUUGCAGAAAAUCAAACAUCGAUUUUCCCAAUGAGAUUCAAGUAAGCUAUUUUAAAGUUCUAUGUUAUUUCUAAAAGCAUAUUCAUAUCCCAAAUUUCUAUGGCAAAGUUAGCUAAUGAAGUCUUCUUCAUUUGGUGGCUUUGAUGAGGCAUGUAGUGUCGAAGAUUUUGAAGAGGCUGUAGAUGCUAAUUGGGGUGAGGCAGUGGAUAGUUGUGAGGUGGAUGACAUAAAGAAUGGAAAAUGUUGUUCUUUAUUAUUACUAUUGUACUUGUCUUUUAAUAAAAAAAUUCCUAAAAUGUAUGGAAUGCCUAAAUAAAAAAUUCGGCCCCCGUCAAAGUUCAGCCCCCCGAACUAAAUUCCUGACUCCGUCACUGGAUAUUCCUCUUUGUGGGGAAUAGUUAGUGAUGCUUAGUUGUUUAUAUUCUGGCCAACAGAACAAUAUUUGCAUUGACCAAAAGCUCACACUUUAAUUUAGAAGGUAUGCUAUAUCUGGAAUAAUUGUCUCUCUGUUUCUUCCUUUGCUUUAUCCAGUAGUAUUCUAUCUUUUCAAGAGCUUUAUUCCGGAGAUGCCGCGCAGGUCAUAUAAUAUGCUCACUUUGUCACACUGAACAUGAGGUUGGUUUUACUCAUUUUACUCUAUACUCAUUCAUCUUCAUGAAUAAGAAUUUGGAAACCUCCACACUACCUGCAUUGAAGCAUGGCUGCUAGAAGUCUAGAACUGUUCUGUCUCAGUUAAGCUGAAUAUAGUUACUAAUGUCAAACAUGUAUAUAGAAGUUGAAAACAUAAUACGAGAAAAUGGGGAAGGGAAGUUCAAAUAUGUCUUGGCCUGCUGGACUUGCAAAUGAGUUAGGCAAGAUUGGUCUUAUUUAUGGGUUGGGGAAGAGGUUGCCUGUUCUCAGAUUAAUAAUGUUUUAGCUGUAGUAUGAUGUGUUUUGGGGAUUUUCCUUCUUUUUCUCUAUCAAUCUCUUAUUUUGUUGGUUUGGGUGUGUUACUCAACAAGUUUGCAUAAAUUGUGGGGUGUGCAUGGGAAGAUACUAUAUAUUGUGGAACUCGCAAGCUGUAUGAUGCAUGAUGGUUGUGAGUAGGAAGUAUCUUCCUGUAUGCAUGCUGAUCUUUUGUUGAGUAAGAAGAAAAAGAUGGAUAGUAGUUGAUAACAGUGGGUAUUGUUGUUAGUAGAGUUCGCGUCCCAUUAUAAAUGUGUGGAGGAAAAUAAAGUGUUAUAUGGACCCUACUACUUUAAAUGGAGCUGGAAAUGAUAUUGUGAACAACCCAAAAUAGCAAAAGUGGAAACGAUAUCGUGGACGGAGGGAGUAUGUGGUUUGUUUUGCGUUCCUUAAACUAACUUCUACAGUAAUCUGCACAAAUCCAAUCUUAAUAUUAUCUUCUUGUUUUUAUGGCCUUAAUUAGUUUGCUUAGAUCAUCUUGUUGCUGAAGCGCACAAUGUUUCUAUAUAUUUCAUCACUGUUCUUGCCUAGCUGACUAAACGUGGUUUUUUAGUAUCAAUUUGGAGUUUUCGAUUGUUCGCGAGUUUUUCUUGUUUUUGUUUUGCAAGCUCACUAUAUUAUUGAAUGAUUUUUUUUUUGGGGGGGGGAGCAAUUAUGAUUCCUAUGGUAGGCUGAGACGAAAGGUCUUAAGAUAGCCGAGACGGAGGGAGUACUAUAAUUGAUAUGACAAUAGACAAAUAUUGACAAAAUCAUGAAUUUGGAUCCUUAAAUGGAGAUCGUUAAUGGCUCUCAUUUUAUUCCAUACUCAAUAUCGUGGCCGAAUAAUAUAAAUCGACAUAAAUUUAUACUAUAUUUAUUUGCAUAGGACCAUUUCCACUAAAUUUUUUUUAACAAAGAGGCCAAACCAAGGCCUCUCAAAGGGUUUAUGGUUUAUAAAUAAGUUGAAUUUGUGCACUGAAAUAAGUGAUCAAUUUGUUAGUUUCACAAAUUUAAGAAAAGUUAUAACUCUAUCUAGGAGUAUAAAUUUUAAGCCCAUCGAACACGUGCAUGCUAAACAAUCUUAUAAAUUGAAAAUUAAAUCAAACUUGAAUUCUUUUAAUGUAUCGAAUACUCAUGAAAUUUAAUAUGACCCUACUUAAUUACACACGUAAUUCCAUUGCAUCCCUAAUUACUACCUUUCAAGACAAACCUCAAGAAACACUUAUUAAGAACCUAAAGUUACUGUCUGAAACAUGAAGCUCCACUAUCAUUCAUGCCAUUUAGUCACCUAAGAAAAGUAUUAAGACUCACGGGGUGGUUUCAAUUCAGAUUCUAUAUAAAAAAAAUUGUAUUUCAAAUGUCUAUAGACUAUAGGUAUUCAAAUCAGAUUUUAAAAAGUCCUUAAAAGUCUGUUGGUAUACAAUUAUUUGUAGAUCUAAUCAAGUUAAAUGAUACUAAAAUUAAGUUGUAAGAGCCAGAAAAUUAGUACGGUUGAAUUGGAUAAGUAGUCAUAGGUUAACGGUUUGUUAAUGUUAUCUAUGUACCUCUGCAAUAUAUAUAUAUAUAGUGAUAUUAUGUAUGAGUGCGCUCACACUUACGGGGAAAAAAAUCCUUAUAUGAUGCGCUCAUACAUAACAAAAAAAAUAUCAUUAUUUAUAUAUAUCUAUUAUACAUAACUUUUUUUGCCGUUAUAAAAGAAUUCACAACUAUGAGCUCUUAAAUUAUUAAGUGUCAGAAACAAAAAUAUUUUAUAUUUUUCAAAAAGUUAUUUUAUACUAGUAUUAUCUAAAUAGUUUAUUAAAACUCGAUAUGUUAUAUCUUGUCAAUGACAUUUAACAUAAACAUAAAUUAAAAAUAGAAAAAAAAAAUUAUAAUUCUCCAUUCAAAAUACAAUAUGUAAAGAAAAGUUAAAUUGGCAACCCAAAUUAUCAACAAAUAAAAUCCAGCCCAUAUACAACAUGUUGAAAAUUCAACCCAAAAAACAGCCCCAAGUCCAACCCAUAUUAUAUAGUAGUAUAUUCCAUUUGUCGCAUUAAGACAACAAAUAAAUAAGAUACAUAAUUUCAUUAAUCAACACAUACUAUUUCAUUAAUCAACACAUACUGCAAUUCCAUUAAAAUAAAUACAACAGUUGGCAAAACCAAUGAACGUUAGAACACAUAUCAUGUUUAAUUGGUAUAUGAACUCAUCAUGCCCUUUUAAACUCCCCUCCAUCAGCUAUCAUAUUCUUUGUAAACUUAUUGCUUUCUUUUUUCAACAACAUGCUUUGUUUGCAAAUUUUGUGUAAACUGAUUUUAUAUAUAUACACCAAAGAAACAACCCCAUUCAUAUGCGAUAUUAUAAACUCAAAUGAGCAAAAGUUGAAUAUAUUUUACAACCAAUAUAAGCAGUACAUAUGUUUUCUUUUCAUUUAGCUGAGCUGGCCCAAUGUUCUUUUUUUUAUUUAAUUGGGCUGCGGUUUGUAAUAUUUAGCAUGGGCCGAUGAAUUUCAGAUUUUGGGCUGUGCAUAUUUGUGUUUAAACGGACCACCUUGAUUAUUUAAUUAGACUAUCAUUAAUUUAAUUAAUUCUUUUUAAAGUAUAAUUUGUAUAAUAAUAUUAUAUUAUUAUGUGCAUAUUUUAAGUAAUUAUUUAUUAUAUGUUUGAAGCAUGACAUAAAAUUGAAUUUGCACAGGUAGAAGUGUACGUAGAAGUAUGAUGUGGCUGCUUCUUAUCUCCAUUGUAUAGUUUUGAAGUGUGGAUAUACCUUUUUACUGAUUCCUGCUCACUUUAAAUUAUCCUUUUGCAAGUGGGACUUUUCUCAAUCCAAAGUUUGAUUCUAUAUAUCUGUUUCUAUAUAAUCAAUCGAGAUAUAAGGAUUUAGUUUGCAUUUCUAUAUCGAUCAAGUCUUGGUCUGCGUCUCCCUCUUUGUCUCAACUCUUCACCUUCGUCUUCGUCUUCGUCUGCGUCUUUGAUAGGAUAUUGCUCGGCUAUGACUACUUCGAGUGAGUCUAACUCCAAUUCAAAAGGAAUAAUAGAGAAAGCAGAUAAUUUCAUUCAUUCAAAAAAAUGCCCUUGUACAUACUCUCAUCUGCUAUUUAUUUGAUACGAGCCACAACGGCCUGCUCUGCAACAUGCAGGACUCCUAACAAACUAAGAUAUCCUAACAGCAGGUGGGGACCUUCAUCAAGGACUAUCAGGUGCUCCGCCCCAUGGCAAAGUCACGGAAACGGGCCGGCAUCUUUCGAUUGCGCGUGGGCCUACCCUCAGUGCGGAGGUCUUCCUCAUUCUGGACUUCUUCUUCAAGUUGGGCUACCACUUCAUUGGGCUUAGUCUGCCCCGAUCCAGUAGUUGUAUCAGUCUUUGUCUCAACUCUUCACCUUCGUCUUCGUCUUCGUCUCCGUCUCUGUCUUUGUCUCAACCUCAAGUCUUCGUCUUCGUUUUGUCUUCGUCUCAAACGGAAAAAACAAAAAAACAAAAAAGACGUCAAAAGGCACCACCCGUGAAGACUCUCAAGUCUUAUAAUAUUUGUGUAUAUAUGAUGAUUAUUGGAUGCAUUUAUUAGCGACUUAAUUAUCAUAAUACAUUCACAAUUUGCAGCCAUGGACAAAAAGUGGACUAUCUUUUUAGUAAAAACAAUAUUUUUAUAUAGUAUUAAUUAGAAAAGUGGACUAUCUUUUUGGAACAUCUCAAAAUGGAAUAAGGGACUAAAAUGGUGGGACGGAGUGAGUAUAAUUUGUGGAUCCCUUUCUUCACUCACUAACUCGUGGAUUCUUUCUUCAUUCACUAACCUAAUUAACCUUUUCCACUUUUCUUAAUUAUUUUUGGGCUUCUUUAUCCACUCACGACCUAAUGGUAAAAAUAGGACCGUAACUUUCAGAAUUUUUAGAAAAAGGACUAUAAGUUACGGAUUUUGAAAAUAAGGACUAUAAUUUUGUAUUCUCGUUUUAACAAUUAACAGUUAUAUUUUUUUUAGGAAAAUUAACAAUUAUAUUUGUUUUAUCUUAAUUAAUUUAAUAUCCUAAAAGAAAGCUACAUAUAUACGUUCAUUAUAAUGUUAAAAGACAUAUAUUAUUUCUUUUUUACAUUUAAUUAGAAGAAUAAAUUAUAAAAAANUAUGCCAUCAAUUUUGAAUAGAGAGAAGAGAUUUUGCAGUAUGGCAGAUUUGCAAGCAAGGAAGAAUUGAGUAAGCAGGAAUAUCUAAAGAUAUUUAAAGACAUUUUUUUUGUGAAGAAAACCUGAUGGCAUAUUUUUUUAUAAUUUAUUCUUCUAAUUAAAUGUAAAAAAGAAAUAAUACAUGUCUUUUAACAUUAUAAUGAACGUAUAUAUGUAGCUUUCUUUUAGGAUAUUAAAUUAAUUAAGAUAAAACAAAUAUAAUUGUUAAUUUUCCUAAAAAAAAUAUAACUGUUAAUUGUUAAAACGAGAAUACAAAAAAGAAACAAAAAAAUUUUUUGCAAAAAAGUUGACAAUAUGGCAGUCCACGUCAGCAACGGGCUCUACGUUGCAUCAAAAUCCCGAACAAUUAAUUUUGGGCCCGAAACAGGAGUGUAAAUGUUAAAAAAAAAUUAUAGUCCUUAUUUUCAAAAUCCGUAACUUAUAGUCCUUUUUCUAAAAAUCCUGAAAGUUACGGUCCUAUUUUUACCAUUAGGUCAUCCACUCACUAAAUAUACAACACAAAUUUUCUUAAAAUGCGUGUCAUCCUCAGGCGUGGACAAAGAGAGUAUUUGUUAUCAUACACAAUUAAAACAUACUUCCUCAGUUCUACUUUACUUGGCAUGGUUUUUUUUUUUGGAUCGUCCCAUCUAACUUGGCUUGUUUCAUUUUUUAGUAAUAAAAUUUUACUAUAUAAUAAAUAUGAAUCUACAUAUUUUACACUAUAUUAUUGUUAUUAUUAUUAUUAUUAUUAUUAUUAUUAUUAUUAUUAUUAUUAUUAAAAAAAUAAACUUUUUUUAGGCAUUCCCAUAUGCAUGGGAAUAGGCUAAUCCCAUAUGCAUGGGGGAGGGGAGGAAUGGCUAAUCCCAUAUGCAUGGGAAUAUGCAUUUCAUUGGGAAUGACGAUUCUAAUUAUAAAAACGGUACCAGCCAUAGGAUUGAGAAUUGACACAGGAAUCAUCAUUCCAUUCUUGCAUACCAGUCAUGCCCUUAUAUGUGAUUAGCAGGUACGGAGCUAAGCUAUCUUUACAAGUUUUUGAUUUUAAAUCCAAACUAUUAAUUUGCCGAUAAAAUAAUUUGAAUUUGAGGGUUACAAUCAAUUCCCUAUCAUCAAACUUUCGACCUCACAAAUUGAGGGGGAAAAACAAACAUUUUAAACUUUUAAUAACCUGUUCAUUUUAAAUUCAUUUUUAUGACUUUUAUAACAUAUUAAAGAUCUUCUGAAAACAACUUAAGAUGCGGAGUUUAAAUUUAUUUAAGGCCAUUAUCUUAGGGUUAUUUGCAAAAAUAGGCCACUAUUUUUCGGACUUGCAAAAAUAGGCCAAUUAUUUUAAUUUUGGUAUUUUUAGGCCACAUGUGUACCCAAUCAGGCUAUUUUGGGCCACAUUUUGACCCCAAAAAGUGGCCUAUAAAUGCUGAAUUGGGCUCAAAUGUGGCCUAAAAAUGCAAAAAACUAAAAUAAUUGACCUAUUUUUGCAAGUCCGAAAAAUAGUGGCCUAUUUUUGCAAAUAGACCUAAGAUAAUGACCUUAAAUAAUUUUAAACUCUAAGAUGUGCAUUGAAUAUUUUUCUCAUAAAUUAAAUUUGAUUAUGUUUAGAAAAUAAUUAAAAUUAUAAAGCUGUUUGGAUAUAAUUAAAUGGGGAGUGAUUUUUGGACACCGGGUGUCUUAGACACCUUCAUAAAAAAUCAGUUUUUGCUUGAUGUUUAAUAUUUAGUGAUUUGUCUAAAAUAUCAUUUCCAAAAAUAUAUUCAACCGAUUUUGCUAUUAUUUUUAAUUUUUAUAUUUUUUUAUAUAAAAAAUUAGUGAAUAUGGAAAAAAAUAUUAAAAAAUAUAAAAAUAAAAAAUAAUAAGAAAAUCGAUUGAAUAUAUUUUUGAAAAUAAUAUUUUAGACAAAUCACUAAAUAGAAAAAAACAAUCAAAUUAAACAUCAAGAAAAAACUGAUUUUUUAUGAUGAUGUCUAACCAAAAAUCUUUUCCCAUAAUUAAAUAUAUGCAAUUAAUUUAUUCAGUAAAGACGCUUUUGGACUGCUUUAAAUAUAAACUAAAGCAAAGAAUUCGAGUUUCCCCUUUUCUCUUUAGACCAUAUUACAGCUUUUUUAAAAGCUUUGGUUUAAUCGAUUAAUUUGCAAAAGAUGCACUUUAUUUUUUUGUCUUGUAUCAACUUUUAUUUUUCGGGAUAAUAUAUAAUGGACUAUAUAUGGUGUACCUUAUAUAUUUUUUUACUAGAGAAAGUAAAAAUUAGAAAACUUGAAUUCAUGAUAGGUGGAGUGGAAAUGAAAGAAAAGACUCGGAAAGAUUAGUUAGGAUGAUCCAUUUUCCAAAAGGUGAAAAAGGAGUGGAAAAAACAGAAAAACAUAGAUAGGUCCCACCACUACAAGUUUUCUAAGUCAAAAGGUUUAGAAAAAUAUUGAAAUUUAUGUUGUAUGAAUCGGAAUCAUGAUCAUUGCAUUAUAAAUUUAUAGAUAUAGGGUGUGUUUGCUUUUUAUCCUUCUAAAUGGAGGGAUAACAAAAAUUUGUGCCUUCACAUUUUACACAAAAGAGAAAUUCACUAUUUUUUUUUCCUUAUUUUUUUGGUGUGAUAAUAUUAUCCCUCCUUGAGGUGAAAAUAAGGAAGAAAAAAUGGUGAACUUCUCUUUUGUGUAAAAUGUGGGAUAAGAAAUUAGACAUUUAAAUGCAUAAAUUUUUAUUAUCCCUCAUUUUCCCAUCCAUCAAAGUGAACGCACCCAUAAAGAUUAAUAUAGCGUGCAAUAUUAUCAUAAUUGACAUAUUAUUAUAUUAAUAUAUAACACUCAAACGGAAAAACAAAAAACAAAAAAGCUAGACAUCAAAUUAAAGCCACAACCAUGAAGACUCUCAAGUCAAGCAAGUCUUGUAAUAUUUGUGUGUAUAUAUAUGAUGAUUAUUGGAUGCACAUAUUAGCGACUUAAUUAUCAUAAUACAAUCAUAAUUUGCAGCCAUGGACAAAAAGCUUUCUUGCAUUUUGCCUUGUGCAUUCCUAAUCACCAUAACCUUCCCAAUGCUUUCUUCUGAAGCCAAACAACCUUUGAGCCUUGCAACUGAUCAAACUGCCCUUCUUUCACUCAAACAUACAUCUCUUUUACUUGCAAUUAAUUGGACCAACUCCACCUCCGUCUGCAGCUGGAUUGGCGUCACUUGCAGCUUCCGCCACCACAGAGUAGUUGCCUUGAAUCUCUCCAACAUGGCUCUCUCCGCCACCAUUCCACCGCAGCUCGGACACCUCUCCUUCCUCGUCUCCCUCGACCUCACCAACAACCUUUUCCAUGGAGAUUUGCCUCAAGAGCUGUCUCUCCUUCGCCGUUUGAAGUUCAUAUCUUUCCGACUCAACAACUUCACCGGAGACAUCCCUCCGAUGUUGGGUCAGUUACCAAAAUUAGAGCACUUGUCUUUAAGCAACAACAGCUUCAUAGGUUCCAUCCCAAAAUCUCUCUCAAACCUCACAAACCUACAAUUUCUUGACUUAUCUUCCAAUUCUCUAAGUGGAGAAAUUCCAAAAGAGUUUGGGAGACUUCAAAGUCUACAAACUCUGUAUGUUGAAUCCAAUCAUUUAUCGGGUGCUAUACAAUCAGCCAUAUUCAACAUCUCGACCCUUGUAGUUAUAGCAUUGAGAUACAAUGAACUGAGUGGAAGUCUUCCGACAGACAUGUGUCGUAAUCUUCCAUUUCUUGCUCUCAUUCGUCUUUCUAGAAAUCGGCUGAGUGGUGCGAUUCCCACAAAUCUGUCCCAAUGUUCACGGCUUGAGGUGUUGAGCCUCGCAUACAACUCUUUUAGUGGGGAGAUACCUUCAGAAAUCGGCUACUUAACAUCUCUUCAGUAUUUAGCUCUUGGUGGUAACAAUUUGAAUGGUAUGGUUCAAAGUUCUUAUCACAUAAAUUUGUGUAAAUGAGAUUUUAUUAGUUUCAUGACACUUUUUUUGCAGGAAUACUACCACAUGAGAUUGGCCAUCUUCAGAGUCUGGUUACUUUUGGUGCUGAAAUCAAUCAGAUUGGGGGCUCAAUUGAUUUCAAUAUUUUCAUGAAUAUGUCUUCUCUGCAAACCUUAAUACUAUGGCGUAACAAAUUCACGGGGAACCUUCCAAGGGAUGUCGGGAAUAUUACCAUGCUAACAGUGUUACAACUCAAGGAAAACCAUUUAACAGGUACAACAGAGCAAUUUUCAUGUAAAUUGUCUGUUUAGCUACAAUUUUGUAAUCUCAUGUUUUGCAGGGAUUAUUCCCACUGAAUUUGGCCAACUUUACCAUUUGGAGACAUUAGAACUACAAUCGAACAGCUUGAGUGGUUCGAUUCCACAUGAGCUCUUUAACAUUUCAACUCUUCGGAUUCUUGCACUUACCAACAAUGCUCUGUCAGGGGUUCUUCCAACCCAUUUAUGCCAUGCCUCUCCCUUUCUUGAACAACUUUAUCUUGGCACAAAUUCUAUCACCGGAGCAAUACCCAACUCCAUCUCUAACUGUUCUCAACUCACAAUUCUCGCACUUUAUAAAACAAAUUCAGUGGUUAUAUACCUACUCAUCUCGGCAACCUAAGACUUCUUCAAGAUCUUCUACUGCAUAGAAACAAUCUUACCCAGCCACCAUCUUCUUCCUUCAUUACUUCAUUGACAAAUUGCAGGUCUCUAACUCAUUUGGAUAUUUCUUAUAAUCCUAUAUACAACAUCAUUCCAGCUUCUGUCGGGAACUUAUCUUCCUCACUUCAAACAUUCUAUGCCAGCAACUGCAAAUUCAAUGGCAACAUUCCUGAUGAAAUUGGCAAUUUAAGCAAUUUGAUGACAUUGGCUUUGCAAGGCAAUGAGUUAUCAGGUAAUAUUCCACUAACUAUAAGCCAUUUGCAUGAACUUCAAGGAUUACGUAUGUCUGAUAACAUGUUGGGAGGCUCAAUACCACAUGCUAUAUGUGAUCUAUUCAGCCUCAAUACUUUAGUUAUGAGCCAGAAUCAAUUUUCAGGCCCAAUUCCUAAAUGUCUUGGAAAUGUCUCUUCUUUAAGACAUCUUCUUCUAGAAUCCAACAUUUUGAAUUCAAGCAUACCAUCAAGCUUAUGGGGCCUAAAAGAUUUGAUCACUCUAGACUUGUCCUCAAAUUCAUUAAAUGGGUCACUACCUCUAGAGAUGAGUAACUUAGGAGCAGCGAUCUAUAUAAACCUAUCAAUGAAUCAGUUGUCAGGGUCAAUUCCGACGAAUAUUGAAAAGUUGCAGAAUUUGAUUAAUUUGUCUUUGGCAAAUAAUAGACUAGAAGGUUCUAUUCCUGUGUCUAUGGGAAAAAUGACCAGUUUGGCAAAUCUCGACUUGUCGUACAACAACCUCUCUGGUUCAAUUCCAAAGUCUUUAGAAGCACUCCAACACCUCGACUACUUUAAUGUCUCUUUCAAUAGUUUGAGUGGAGAAAUUCCUAAUGGAGGUUC
rnacentral:lncRNA from 1 species